rnacentral:rRNA from 1 species
CCCUAGAGGAGCCUGUUCCAUAAUCGAUAAACCCCGAUCCACCUCACCCUCUCUUGCUUAGCCUAUAUACCGCCAUCUUCAGCAAACCCUGAUAAAGGUUACAAAGUGAGCACAAACGCCCUGCCGCCGCAAAAACGUUAGGUCAAGGUGUAGCCCAUGAGAAGGUAAAAAUGGGCUACAUUUUCUAUAUCAGAAAACUCCACGAAAACUCCUAUGAAACCUGGGAGUCCAAGGAGGAUUUAGCAGUAAAUUAAGAAUAGAGUGCUUAAUUGAACCAGGCCAUAAAGCGCGUACACACCGCCCGUCACUCCCCUCAAAUAUAUUUAAGGAACACUUUAACUAAACGCCCUGAUAUUUAUACAGAGGGGAUAAGUCGUAACAUGGUAAGUGUACUGGAAGGUGCACUUGGAU